ACCUACGGGGGGCAGCAGUGGGGAAUAUUGGACAAUGGGGGGAACCCUGAUCCAGCCAAGUCGCGUGAGGGAAUAAGGCCCUACGGGUCGUAAACCUCUUUUGCCGGGGAGCAAGGGCCGGGACGAGUCCCGGUCCGGAGAGUACCCGGAGAAAAAGCAUCGGCUAACUCCGUGCCAGCAGCCGCGGUAAUACGGAGGAUGCGAGCGUUAUCCGGAUUUAUUGGGUUUAAAGGGUGCGUAGGCGGGCUUUUAAGUCAGCGGUAAAAAUUCGGGGCUCAACCCCGUCCGGCCGUUGAAACUGGGGG
rnacentral:rRNA from 1 species